AUUAGCUAGUUGGUGAGGUAAUGGCUUACCAAGGCGACGGUCAGUAGCCGACCUGAGAGGGUGAUCGGCCACAUUGGAACUGAGACACGGUCCAAACUCCUACGGGAGGCAGCAGUGGGGAAUAUUGCACAAUGGGCGAAAGCCUGAUGCAGCAACGCCGCGUGAGCGAUGAAGGCCUUCGGGUCGUAAAGCUCUGUCCUCAAGGAAGAUAAUGACGGUACUUGAGGAGGAAGCCCCGGCUAACUACGUGCCAGCAGCCGCGGUAAUACGUAGGGGGCUAGCGUUAUCCGGAUUUACUGGGCGUAAAGGGUGCGUAGGCGGUCUUUCAAGUCAGGAGUGAAAGGCUACGGCUCAACCGUAGUAAGCUCUUGAAACUGUAAGACUUGAGUGCAGGAGAGGAGAGUGGAAUUCCUAGUGUAGCGGUGAAAUGCGUAGAUAUUAGGAGGAACACCAGUUGCGAAGGCGGCUCUCUGGACUGUAACUGACGCUGAGGCACGAAAGCGUGGGGAGCAAACAGGAUUAGAUACCCUGGUAGUCCACGCCGUAAACGAUGAGUACUAGCUGUCGGAGGUUACCCCCUUCGGUGGCGCAGCUAACGCAUUA
rnacentral:rRNA from 1 species